GACGAACGCUGGCGGCGUGCUUAAUACAUGCAAGUCGAACGAUGAAAGCUGGAGCUUGCUCCGGCUGGAUUAGUGGCGAACGGGUGAGUAACACGUGAGUAACCUGCCCCUCACUCUGGGAUAACCUCGGGAAACCGAAGCUAAUACCGGAUACGACCCUCGGAGGCAUCUCCAGGGGGUGGAAAGAAUUUCGGUGAGGGAUGGACUCGCGGCCUAUCAGGUAGUUGGUGAGGUAACGGCUCACCAAGCCGACGAUGGGUAGCCGGCCUGAGAGGGUGACCGGCCACACUGGGACUGAGACACGGCCCAGACUCCUACGGGAGGCAGCAGUAGGGAAUAUUGCACAAUGGGCGCAAGCCUGAUGCAGCAACGCCGCGUGAGGGACGACGGCCUCGGUUGUAACCUCUUUAGUAGGUAAGAAGCGAAGUAGACGGUACCUGCAGAAAAGACACCGGCGUAACUACGUAGCCAGC
rnacentral:rRNA from 1 species